CUACUGCAGUUUGCCUUCUCCGGGGGGUGGAACAAGGGGCUAGGAGCUCUGUAUAAAAAUAAAAUAAAAAGCCCACAGAGGCGGACUUCUCUGUGCACUCCAUCAGUCUAUCAGGAGCCUUUCAAGGUUGUCCUCUGAGAGGCUCUACUAGCACAUGACUGAGGCAGAUGCAGAUACUUACAGCCAACUAUUGGAUUGAGCCUGGGCACCCAUGUUGAAAAGAUAUUGAAGGACUGAAGGAGCUAAAAGGGACUGCAACUCCAUAUGAAGAACAACAAAAUCAGCCAACCAGACCCCUCAGAGCUCCCAGGGACUAAGCCAUCAAUCAAAGAGUGUACAUGGGCUGGUCCUUGGUAUGUAGCAGAGAACUGCCUUGUCUGGCCUCAGUGGGAGGGGAGGCAAUUUGUCCUGUGGAGGCUUGAUGUCCCAGAGAAGGGGGAUGCUAGAGGGGUGAGAUCCAGAGGAAGUGGGAUCAAAGAGACUCUACCUGAAUGGUUCUGUCCAGCCAUUCAGAACAAGUGGUUCUGUCCACAAGUGCAUCCCCUUAUUAUUGUGUGAAUGGGGAAGGAGAAAAGGGUGCAGACCUGCUUGCAGCAGGAAAGAAGGGCUAUCAAGAUCUAAAGCUGUCCAUAGGCACCGCAUGUGUGAGAUGUGAGCUGCCAGUUCCCACCACCAUGUCUGCCACCACAUCUCUUGCAUGCUGCCCUCCUGUCCUUGCCAUAGACUCUAAUGUGCUGGAAUGGCUACACUUUGAGAAUUUUCUUCUAUAUCUGAGGAACACUUACCAUUGUGGAUUAUGGACAUCUAAUGGUAUUUGAAAAUUUAUCCACUACAGUGGAAAACCAUGAUGUUCAAGUCAUGAACAUUCAAGGGAACAAGGAUAAAUGAAGGCAUCGGAUAAAGAGGCCCUAAGUGAGAAGUUACUGACCACACUGUGCUCAGAGAAGCAAAGCAAAUCAUUACCACAAAACUCCUCCAAUCCUUUCCAGUCCACAUAGUAAAAUGUAUCGGGAUGAUGGAGGCACGUUCGUAUGUCAGCUGAGUGGUCACCAUCCUGUAAAGCAUGGAGAGAAAGGAAAGCCAUAUAAAGACACAGUGAGUCAGACCUGGAGGCACAGGCAAAGCUCUGCAGUUGCCAUGGUGAGGCUUCUUCAGGAGCACUACUGAAAGGGUCAUGGAUGGAUUUCUCAUGACCUUUACUUCUCAUAAGAUCAAGGUAGUCAUGAUCCCUUUUUAUGAGUGUUCCUCAGAAAAUUGGAAAUAGAUCUAUCUGAAGACCCAGAAAUCCUACUCUUGGGAAUAUAUCCAAAAGAUGCCCCACCUUGCCACAGGACACAUGUUCCACUAUGUUCAUAGUGGCCUUAUUUGUGAUAGCCAGAAGCUGGAAACAACCGAGAUGUUCCACGACAGAAGAAUGUCUACAGAAAAUGUGGUUCAUUUACACAAUGGAAUACUACUCAGAUAUUAAGAAUAAGGACAUCCCGAGUUUUGCAGUUCCCUGAACCUUGAAAGGAAGGGUACGAUAUCCCAUUUGGGUCCUGGAGCUCUAAAGUCUCCUGCUAUCUGUCCACUGUCCACUUGUGGGUUGCUGUGAUCAUCAUCUGCUUUGAGAAGAACUUUUCUUGCUAAGUGUUGUGUUUUAAUCUACAUGUAUAACCAAGGAGUGUUGUUCCACAGGACAGAUGUCCAGUUAUGUGUACGUUUUGGUACAGUGGGAGAGCUGAUUUCUGUUUCUGCCCUGAUGUUAGUGUUAUGCUGGUAACAGAAAGUGAGCAAGGUGUAUUCCCUGUAGUCAUGUUGCUUGAAGAAUUCAUGAAGAUCAACGCUGAGUCUUGGAUCUUUGGUAGCUGUCCUCUGUAAGGGCAUCCAGUCCUUGCUUUUCUUGGCUGGGAGUUUCUUGGAGAAUGAUUUAAUCAUUUGCUCUGCAGGUUUCACAUUCUUAGUUCUGUGAAGGUGUUGGAUUCUACAAUUGCAUCAAUUGGUUGAGUUAUCCAAUCUGCUGACAUAUAAAAACACAUAACUGUGCCUUACAAGCCAUUUUAUGACCAAAGCAUCCACUGAAACUUUUUUAUAUCUGCCUUUAAAUUUAUUAUCUCUUUUUACUGUUACCUUUGAUACGUUUUGUAAAGUUUGUGAUGAUUUUCACAUAACCAAACCUUCAUAAUAUUUCCUACGCUUCCUGUUAUCUGUUUUAUUUAUUUCUGUUCUGAUCUAUAUUUCCUACCUUAUGCCAACUUGGAGUCUUCGUGUUUUAGAAUAAAUAAUUUUUUUCUAGUUAAUAGAGGUGUAAAAU
rnacentral:lncRNA from 1 species